rnacentral:rRNA from 1 species
UGGGGAAUAUUGGACAAUGGGCGAAAGCCUGAUCCAGCAAUGCCGCGUGUGUGAAGAAGGCCUUCGGGUUGUAAAGCACUUUUGUCCGGAAAGAAAUCCUUGGCUCUAAUACAGUCGGGGGAUGACGGUACCGGAAGAAUAAGCACCGGCUAACUACGUGCCAGCAGCCGCGGUAAUACGUAGGGUGCAAGCGUUAAUCGGAAUUACUGGGCGUAAAGCGUGCGCAGGCGGUUUGCUAAGACCGAUGUGAAAUCCCCGGGCUCAACCUGGGAACUGCAUUGGUGACUGGCAGGCUAGAGUAUGGCAGAGGGGGGUAGAAUUCCACGUGUAGCAGUGAAAUGCGUAGAGAUGUGGAGGAAUACCGAUGGCGAAGGCAGCCCCCUGGGCCAAUACUGACGCUCAUGCACGAAAGCGUGGGGAGCAAACAGGAUUAGAUACCCUGGUAGUCCACGCCCUAAAACGAUGUCAACUAGUUGUUGGGGAUUCAUUUCCUUAGUAACGUAGCUAACGCGUGAAGUUGACCGCCUGGGGGAGUACGGUCGCAAGAUUAAAACUCAAAUGAAUUGACGGGGUCAUAGCUGUUUCCU